rnacentral:rRNA from 1 species
UUGAUAGGUCGGGUGUGGAAGCGCAGUAAUGCGUUAAGCUAACCGAUACUAAUUGCCCGUGAGGCUUGAUCCUAUAACACUGAUGGUUAUG